rnacentral:rRNA from 1 species
GACGAACGCUGGCGGCGUGCUUAACACAUGCAAGUCGAGGGCGGUAGCAAUACCGACCGGCGAACGGGUGCGUAACACGUGAGCGACCUACCGAGGUGUGGGGGAUAGUCGGCCUAACGGCCGGGUAAUACCGCAUACGUUCUCUAAUCGGCAUCGAUUGGAGAGGAAACCUUUCGGGCACUUCGAGGGGCUCGCGGCCUAUCAGCUAGUUGGCGAGGUAAUGGCUCACCAAGGCGACGACGGGUAGCUGGUCUGAGAGGAUGGCCAGCCACAUUGGGACUGAGAAACGGCCCAGACUCCUACGGGAGGCAGCAGUGGGGAAUCUUGCGCAAUGGCCGAAAGGCUGACGCAGCGACGCCGCGUGUGGGAUGAAGCCCUUCGGGGUGUAAACCACUGUUGCCCGGGACGAAUAGCGGAUUUUGAUCCGCCUGACGGUACCGGGUGAGGAAGCACCGGCUAACUCCGUGCCAGCCGCCGCCGUAACAC